UAAUAGCCCCGAUUAGAGGGGAAAUUACCUUUGUCAAAGUUUUAAACUUUGACAAAGGUAAUUGUAACGGAAAGCGGGAAAAGGG
rnacentral:sRNA from 1 species